rnacentral:rRNA from 1 species
GUAGGUGGCAAGCGUUGUCCGGAAUUAUUGGGGCGUAAAGCGCGCGCAGGCGGUUCUUUAAGUCUGAUGUGAAAGCCCACGGGCUCAACCGUGGAGGGUCAUUGGAAACUGGAGAACUUGAGUACAGAAGAGGAAAGCGGAAUUCCACGUGUAGCGGUGAAAUGCGUAGAGAUGUGGAGGAACACCAGUGGCGAAGGCGGCUUUCUGGUCUGUAACUGACGCUGAGGCGCGAAAGCGUGGGGAGCAAACAGGAUUAGAUACCCUGGUAGUCCACGCCGUAAACGAUGAGUGCUAAGUGUUAGGGGAUUUCCGCCCCUUAGCGCUGCAGCUAACGCAUUAAGCACUCCGCCUGGGGAGUACGGCCGCAAGGCUG